rnacentral:rRNA from 1 species
UACGUAGGUGGCAAGCGUUGUCCGGAUUUACUGGGCGUAAAGAGCGCGCAGGCGGUCGAUUUAGUCGCGUGUGAAAGCCCCCGGCUUAACUGGGGAGGGUCACGCGAUACUGAUCGACUCGAAGGCAGGAGAGGGUAGUGGAAUUCCCGGUGUAGUGGUGAAAUGCGUAGAUAUCGGGAGGAACACCAGUGGCGAAGGCGACUACCUGGCCUGUUCUUGACGCUGAGGCGCGAAAGCUAGGGGAGCAAACGGG